GCCGCGGUUUUGUCACUGUCUGUCCAUCUCCCGGCUGUCUCCUGCACUCAAAGGGUGAAGCGUCAGGCCGGCGCAGGCCUGUUCCCGAGCUACACCAGCGUGCCAGAGACGUCGUUCUCCUGUGAUCAGUACGGGCCGGGUUACUACGCCGAUCCGGAGACGGGCUGUCAGGCAUUUCACGUGUGCCAUACCAACGCGGUGGACUCGUUC